UGACAAAUAUGUAGUCUUUGGUAUGAUUCCUUUUUGAAUAUUUGAUUGUUUGGAUCCAAUUUUUUAUAGAUAGUUUUCUUCCUAGGUAUUUAAUAGGACAGUUUUUAGAUACAUAAUCUAAGGACCAAUUCCAGAAAUUAUUGGAUUACCUAAAAUACAAGAAGAAAUUUAAUGGACGAUUGAAUGUAAACCUAGGAGAUGAAUUUCACAAAUACACAACAAGAAUGUUUGCGUGGUAUUCUUCACAAUCGAGACAUAAAAGCAAAGAAUAAUUUAACAUGUGAGUUUUUUUUCAAAUAUAUUUAUGUAGUGUAGGUGGUUUGAUAUUUUUUAUGCAACAGUUAUAUUAAUUCAGAGUCGUUUUGGCUUUACAGCCACUAAACAUCUAUAGUUAGAAGAUAUUUUGUAAAAGACUCUACAUCUUUUUGUUCUUCUUCCAAAAUAAGUAGAGUUCUCCCACAGGAGGCAAUUUUUUGGUGGUCUCAUUUCCCAAGGUGUUAGUACAGCUUCUUCAAGGUACUAGAAAAAUCAAAUAUUCAAGAAAGAAUGUCAAUAACAACUCAAGAAUUAUUAUUAAUAUUAAUCUCUUUAUUGGAGUGACAAUACAAGGCUAUCGAAGAAGGUUCUUAUGCCUAAAUUACAAGUAAAUGUGAAAUUUUUGUUUUUUCAUUAGGCACUGCUACAAUAAUCAUUAGGUUGUAUGUAUGUAGGGAUUUUGGGGUAUCGACUUUAGGGUUGUGGACAAUUCCUUGAAAUGGGAGUUACAUAUUACCGCCUUAUCUAAAAAAUUCAAUUCCUCCUGAGAUCAGUUUCUACAGAACUUAACUUAUCCUCCUCGUUAACAGUUUAUUAUGCCCUUAUUGAAUUACAAAAGAGAGCUGUUAGAUAUUUACUCAGACUAAACAGCAAGGGCUACUUUAAAAGAUUAAAAAUUUUCAUUAUUGAAUCCGUUGUGUGCUCAAUACUGUACAAUGGGAAAAAAUGCACAAUCAUUUGCCAAUUGAAAUCAAAUCGAUAUCCUUUCCUGCAUUUCGAAAUAAUCUUAGGGCAUAUUUACUGGAAAGAGCCUUCUACUCUGCAGACGACUUCUAUUGUUAUUAUUACCUAUAAUUUUGUUAUUCAUUGUGGUUUUAUUCUGUAUUAUUUUUACGUUUGUUUUUUAGUUAUUAGCAACUUUUGUCCACAAAUUGUAACAAUUUUUUGACAAUAAAGUAUUUCUCUCUUAAUUUGAAA